UACGUAGGGUCCGAGCGUUGUCCGGAGUUACUGGGCGUAAAGCGCGCGCAGGCGGCGGUGUUGGCCCGGCGUGAAAGCCCCCGGCUCAACCGGGGAGAGUCGUCGGGGACCGCACCGCGUUGAGGGCGGUAGGGGCUGGUGGAAUGCCUGGUGUAGUGGUGAAAUGCGUAGAGAUCAGGCAGAACACCUGGGGCGAAGGCGGCCAGCUGGGCCGUCCCUGACGCUGAGGCGCGAAGGCGUGGGGAGCGAACGGG
rnacentral:rRNA from 1 species